rnacentral:rRNA from 1 species
UUAAAUGAAUUGACGGGGCCCGCACAAGCGGUGGAGCAUGUGGUUAAUUCGAAGCAACGCGCAGAACCUUACCAACCCCUUGGCAUCCCUGGACCGCCGGAGAGAUUCGGUUUCUCGUAAGAGACCAGGUGACAGGUGCUGCAUGGCUGUCGUCAGCUCGUGUCGUGAGAUGUUCGGUUAAGUCCGGCAACGAGUGCAACCCACAUCCCUAGUUGCCAGCAGGUUAAGCUGGGCACUCUAUGGAAACUGCCCGUGAUAAGCGGGAGGAAGGUGUGGAUGACGUCAAGUCCUCAUGGCCCUUACGGGUUGGGCUACACACGUGCUACAAUGGCAGUGACAAUGGGUUAAUCCCAAAAAGCUGUCUCAGUUCGGAUUGGGGUCUGCAACUCGACCCCAUGAAGUCGGAAUCGCUAGUAAUCGCGUAACAGCAUGACGCGGUGAAUACGUUCCCGGGCCUU